rnacentral:rRNA from 1 species
ACGAACGCUGGCGGCGUGCUUAACACAUGCAAGUCGAACGGUGAAGCGCCUUCCUUUUUGGUGGGUGUGGAUGAGUGGCGAACGGGUGAGUAACACGUGAGUAACCUGCCCCCUUCUUCUGGAUAACCGCAUGAAAGUGUGGCUAAUACGGGAUAUUCUGGGUCUGUCGCAUGAUGGGUCUGGGAAAGAUAUUGUUUCGGUGGGGGAUGGGCUCGCGGCCUAUCAGCUUGUUGGUGGGGUGAUGGCCUACCAAGGCGGUGACGGGUAGCCGGCCUGAGAGGGUGGACGGUCACACUGGGACUGAGACACGGCCCAGACUCCGACGGGAGGCAGCAGUGGGGAAUAUUGCACAAUGGGCGCAAGCCUGAUGCAGCGACGCCGCGGGAGGGAUGGAGGCCUUCGGGUUGUGAACCUCUUUCGCCAGUGAAGCAGGCCUGCCUCGUUUGUGGGUGGGUUGACGGUAGCUGGAUAAGAAGCGCCGGCUAACUACGUG